GAUGAACGCUGGCGGCGUGCCUAAUACAUGCAAGUCGAGCGAACAGACGAGGAGUUUGCUCCUCUGACGUUAGCGGCGGACGGGUGAGUAACACGUGGAUAACCUACCUAUAAGACUGGGAUAACUUCGGGAAACCGGAGCUAAUACCGGAUAAUAUAUUGAACCGCAUGGUUCAAUAGUGAAAGACGGCUUUGCUGUCACUUAUAGAUGGAUCCGCGCCGCAUUAGCUAGUUGGUAAGGUAACGGCUUACCAAGGCAACGAUGCGUAGCCGACCUGAGAGGGUGAUCGGCCACACUGGAACUGAGACACGGUCCAGACUCCUACGGGAGGCAGCAGUAGGGAAUCUUCCGCAAUGGGCGAAAGCCUGACGGAGCAACGCCGCGUGAGUGAUGAAGGUCUUCGGAUCGUAAAACUCUGUUAUUAGGGAAGAACAAAUGUGUAAGUAACUAUGCACGUCUUGACGGUACCUAAUCAGAAAGCCACGGCUAACUACGUG
rnacentral:rRNA from 1 species